rnacentral:rRNA from 1 species
GUGGGGAAUAUUGGACAAUGGGCGCAAGCCUGAUCCAGCAAUGCCGCGUGGGUGAAGAAGGUCUUCGGAUCGUAAAGCCCUUUCGACAGGGACGAUGAUGACGGUACCUGUAGAAGAAGCCCCGGCUAACUUCGUGCCAGCAGCCGCGGUAAUACGAAGGGGGCUAGCGUUACUCGGAAUUACUGGGCGUAAAGGGCGCGUAGGCGGCUCUGUUAGUCAGGCGUGAAAUUCCUGGGCUUAACCUGGGGACUGCGCUUGAUACUGCAGGGCUUGAGGCCGAGAGAGGGUGGUGGAAUUCCCAGUGUAGAGGUGAAAUUCGUAGAUAUUGGGAAGAACACCGGUGGCGAAGGCGACCACCUGGCUCGGUUCUGACGCUGAGGCGCGACAGCGUGGGGAGCAAACAGGAUUAGAAACCCGUGUAGUCC